UCCACCUUUCUAAUGCAAGAGUUAACCAGUAUUCUCAAUCAAUCACCACUAUUCUGUCCUCCUCUCAAUUGCAAGAGUUAACUCUCUGCCUCUCGUUGCCAUUGAUCAAUGACUCUCUUACAUAAAAUUAAUAAAUAAAAUAAUGAUAUAUAUAAAAUGAAUGACCAAUUAAAUUAAAGAACGAAAUUUUUGUAAGCCUAAUCUAGCCUAAUCUAGCCUAGCCCAACUUAACUGAACCCAGUGUAUCUGUCAGAUGAAAACAGAAUUGAGACACGUCUCAAUCUCUUUUUUUCGGUAUUGUUACACCAGGGGUAUGGGUACGGGUGGCAGCACUGUGGAGUUGGCAGCACUGGGAGAGGCGGGAACAGGGAGAGAGGGGAGACGCGUGGCCAGAGAGGAGGCCAGCUUGUGCCUGCCUGCUUUCCGGCUGCAGCAAGCAUCGACCGGAGCCAAACCCCUCGCCGAGACGGGGAAAGAUAUACGUUGUGGGACCGUUCCCAACCACACUGAACUGACUACACGUCCCGUCCCGGCGACUCAGGGCGCGGAAUGGAAGUGGAGAGUCCUGGGAACGCGCGCAUAUCCCACCGAGCAUUCAAGAGCAAGGGAGUGAGGAGAAAAGCUUAGUCCAGUCUGCUGUCUGUGCAUCAAGCCUAAGCUGGUCUGCUCCCACGAUGCAGUGUGUGGCAGUGUUAGCAGUGACGGCUCUUGUCUGCACCUCAUCCUCUUAAAGAUAUGAGGUGGUAUGAGCACUGGGAUAAGAUGAAGAGCGUACGCAGCAAGUUUGUGGAUGUUUUGCGGCUGCACGUGCGGGGUGGAGCGGGG